CUCAGAAAUGCAGAGAUUGCUCAGAGAGAGGAGUGAAAAGCCCCUUCACCUCUCAGCAGCCGCGCUCUGAGCUGGCCCAGCUGGCUCAUCUUGGCUGGAGGAAGUUGCUCCGUUUUGAGGAACAGCUGUGAGAAGGCUGUAAACCACAGCCACGGGAGGGGAAAAGGCAAAGUUACAGCCUGAGGCUGCCUUUUGGUGGCUUAAGGAUUAAAGAGGGAAAACGUUAACGUGGCAUCCUAAGUGAAGGAUAUCCACACAGCCACCUUAAUGCUCCAGCCAGGGAAAGCUCGUUUUUAUCUCCUGGGCGUUUGCUUGUGUGGCCAGCAAGGAUUUAUUUUUCAGGCACGUCAGCAAGAACAGGCUGAGGGGACAAGAGCCAGCCACAAGGAGAGAGAAAAUCAGAUUGUCAGGUAGGAAUAGUGGGGAAAUGAGGACACAGGAGUUCAAGCUGUAUAAAUGAUAAUCAUGUUUGCAGAUUACUGCACUCACAAUUCCAGUUAUGGUCUAGUUUCCCACUAAGUUUUGAUGCCAAGCAAACGGGAUUAAAUCGUUCUUUAAAAGUAUCUUCACCACGACUGACAGUGAAAUGUUCACGUGUGACUAGAGUCAACUGGAAAAUCUUUUUGCUAAUGAUUAAAGUAGUAUUACCCAAGAUAAUUAAUAAGGUUGGGGUAAAAGAGGUAUCUGAUUCCUAAUAAAAAAAGUGUUAUAGUCCCAUUGAUUUUAUUUUAUGUUCAUAUUUUAUAGGUGCAUUCUGAAUAUGCAGUCCAUGAUUCAAACAUCACACUGUUUUUAAGCUGUAAAAUCUUAUGCAAAGCCAAUAAGUACAAAAAUAUCAAUCUUAAAAUUAUAUUCUGAUAUUUGUGUUACAAACUUGAGAACUGAUAGACCUGUUAAACUGAAAUAUCAGCCUUUCAACAGCAAGCACUAGUAAUAAACUGAACUAUUUCAGUAACUGUAAACAUAAUAAAAAUCCUCAUGAUGAAUCUCAGAAAAGUUCAUUUGAUGAAACUCAUAACAAAUACUCUGAAUCCAAAGGAAUGAAUAAUUUUGCAUUACUGAAACCUAGCUAACUUUUUUUUCUUCAAGUGGCAAGAAGAUGUCAUGUUUUGCUAAAGAAGAAACAGUAAAAAAUAAUCACAAGCAUUUUCCUUACUUUUAACUCUAUUAGC
rnacentral:lncRNA from 13 species